rnacentral:rRNA from 1 species
AUUGAACGCUGGCGGCAGGCUUAACACAUGCAAGUCGAGCGGGGGAAGGUAGCUUGCUACCGGACCUAGCGGCGGACGGGUGAGUAAUGCUUAGGAAUCUGCCUAUUAGUGGGGGACAACAUCUCGAAAGGGAUGCUAAUACCGCAUACGUCCUACGGGAGAAAGCAGGGGAUCUUCGGACCUUGCGCUAAUAGACGAGCCUAAGUCGGAUUAGCUAGUUGGGGGGGUAAAGGCCUACCAAGGCGACGAUCUGUAGCGGGUCUGAGAGGAUGACCCGCCACGCUGGGACUGAGACACGGCCCAGACUCCUACGGGAGGCAGCAGUGGGGAAUAUUGGACAAUGGGGGGAACCCUGAUCCAGCCAUGCCGCGUGUGUGAAGAAGGCCUUAUGGUUGUAAAGCACUUUAAGCGAGGAGGAGGCUACUCUAGUUAAUACCUAGGGAUAGUGGACGUUACUCGCAGAAUAAGCACCGGCUAACUCUGUGCCAGCCGCCGCAGUAA